CUCAAUACCAUACAAGUGUCAAGCAUUUUAAAAUUGAGCUAUCUACAUACAAUGUGGUAUCCAUCAAAAUUCUAAAAUGUACUUACAGAACUUGACAACCUGAUUCUAACAUUUAUAUAGAUGAUCAAAGAACCAAGAAUAACCUGGACGUUUUGCUCAAUGGAAUACCAAUAUUUAAGGUAAAAUAACGGAGUUUGAGAUAAACAAUGGAUCGGAAUACGGAGCCCAUAAGAAAAACCAUGCAUAUAUGAAACGUGCUUGAAAACAGAGGCUUCUCUGCAGUUCAGUUGGGGGAAAAGACGGACUAUACAAUAAGUAGUACUGAGAGAACUGAGUAUUCAUAUGAGAAUCAGAGAAAAUUAGAAUCCCAUCGCAAACCACAUGUAAAACUUAACUCUGGAUGCAUUCAGAAUAGUUGACUGCGUGUUGGCCAAUGAAAGGAGAUUCAAGGACAACCACAGGAGCAGAGGGAGAUGAUUUCUGGAGGAAGAAAGAGGCUGAACAGAAAGACACAGAAGAGGAAAGUGGAAAAACAAAACUUCUAGGCCCUCCUGCAAACAGGCAACACGGGGGGAAAAAAAUGAAGAAAAGACCAGCAACUCCUCCUUUGUUUCUUCCCCAAACAAAAUGUAAAUCAAGAGAGAUCACAGGUGCAUGAAUGAAAAGUCCUUCAAGUGAUGUGCCUUCCUGUUGCUUUUCUGAGCCUCACAGAAACACCGAAGGAGGAAGGAAGAACGUGAUUUGCACUGGCUUGUGGAAUUUAAUAUUCCUGUAAAGAUAAUUGUGUGGCUCUUGAUAAUUCAGCAGUUUAGACUCAUCAUGACAUUUCAUCUUCAAGGGCUAUUUCAAUCCCUCAAAUAGAUUUUUAUUCUACCACUCACACAUUCAAGGAUGAAAAAGGUACCUCGCUGUAUUAAAUUAAAUUACCUUUAAAACUUGUA